CCACGGGAGGCAGCAGUGGGGAAUAUUGGGCAACGGGCGCAAGCCUGACCCAGCAACGCCGCGUGAAGGAAGAAGGCUUUCGGGUUGUAAACUUCUUUUCUCAGGGACGAAGAAAGUGACGGUACCUGAGGAAUAAGCCACGGCUAACUACGUGCCAGCAGCCGCGGUAAUACGUAGGUGGCAAGCGUUAUCCGGAUUUACUGGGUGUAAAGGGCGUGUAGGCGGGACUGCAAGUCAGAUGUGAAAACCACGGGCUCAACCUGUGGCCUGCAUUUGAAACUGUAGUUCUUGAGUACUGGAGAGGCAGACGGAAUUCCUAGUGUAGCGGUGAAAUGCGUAGAUAUUAGGAGGAACACCAGUGGCGAAGGCGGUCUGCUGGACAGCAACUGACGCUGAGGCGCGAAAGCGUGGGGAGCAAACAGGAUUAGAUACCCCAGUAGUC
rnacentral:rRNA from 1 species